CUGAUUUUAAUGAAAUCCUACUUUUCUGAAAGAAAAAAAAAAAAAAUUAGCCAGGCAUGGUGGCGGGCGCCUGUAGUCCCAGCUACUUGGGAGGCUGAGGCAGGAGAAUGGCAUGAACCCAGGAGGCGGAGCUUGCAGCAAGCCUAGUUUGCGCCGCUGCACUCCAGCCUGGGCGACAGAACAAGACUCCGUCUCAAAAAAAAAAGGUGGGGUGGGGGGGAGAAAAUGUGGCACAUAUACACCAUGGAAUACUAUGCAGCCAUAAAAAAGGAUGAGUUCAUGUCCCUUGUAGGGACAUGGAUGAAGCUGGAAACCACCAUCUCCAAUUUUAAAGCACUGUCAACCACAUGAUCACAUCUACAGAAGUGAUCGAGCCCACAUCCACCAGUUUGCCUCCUGUGACAUUAUA
rnacentral:lncRNA from 1 species